CAGCCUUGGCAGCUUUGUCCCACUGCUCCUGCUCGCGUCGUGUUGGUGCUGGCCGCCAUCUUUGAGAUGCACUUAAACGUGGCUGAAAAUCAGUUUAGGUUUCAGCAAUGCAAGUGGAGAAGUUUAAUGCUUAAAGUUGCAAAAGGCAGAUGUUUUAAAGUUACUACAUACUCGAGUAUUUUCAACUUCUGCUGAAAAUCAGUUUAGUUUUCAGCAAUGCAAGUAGAGAAGUUUAAUGCUUAAAGUUGCAAAAGGCAGAUGUUUUAAAGUUACUACAUACUCGAGUAUUUUCAACUUCUGGUUCUUGAACAGGUUUUGAAGAGGCUUUUAGC
rnacentral:lncRNA from 1 species